AAAUUUUCUGUGUUUUCUUCGAGGAGAAUCGCUGAGUAUGGCGAGAGAUAGCUGUUUGGCUCGAGUUACUGCCGGAGUUGCCGUUGGUGGCGCUGUAGGCGGAGCCGUCGGUGCUGUUUAUGGGACCUAUGAGGCAAUUAGAUUUAAGGUGCCAGGACUUUUGAAAAUUAGGUAUAUUGGACAAACAACACUUGGAAGUGCUGCCAUAUUUGGCCUUUUCUUAGGUGCAGGGAGUUUGAUACAUUGUGGAAAGUCAUAUUAAAGCAUAAGCUCCUGUAUUUGGGUCAGAUAAUAUUGUUUGUUUUUUAGAUUUCUUGCUUUUGAACAUGAAGUUAGUGCAGCAGGUCAUUUGUUUAUUUAAAAAGCUUCCAUUUGUGGUUGUUGGUUAAAAGGAACAAAGUGGUCAAUUGAUGGUGAUAUGGCUUCACCCUACUCGGAUAUGGAUUUUCAAGUUU
rnacentral:misc_RNA from 1 species